GGGUGGGGGCGGGCUUAUGCACACUCCACCAACACACACAAUGACCCAAAAGGUAACCCCCACGCAAAGCAGGGGUUGCCUGUAAAUAAAUAACGUACAGCAGUGUUAAAAAGGUUCAGCUGUCCCUAGUUUCAAAAUGGUUCUAUUGGGGUUAAGUUACAAGAGAGUAGAUUUUGUCUCAACAUUAGAAUAAGCUUCUUAAUGGGACUAAUGGCCUAGAUGGGUAGUGAGCUCUCUCUCACUGGAGGUCUUCAAGCAGAGGCUGAGCAACCAUCUGUUAGGAACGCUUUAGUUCUGGAUUUCUUGCAUCAAGCAGGGGUUGGAUUAGAUGGGCAAUGAGCCCCCUCCUCCAGCUCUGUGAUGCUGUGUGGUUUGUACUUGAACACCUGAUGGUUUAUAUCAUAAAAGGAAAGGCACUCCCAUCAGCCUUAACGAUUGUCCCAUCUGCAGCCAUGAUGAUCUCUUUCAAGAACAGCAUGUAAUAAGUCAGGCAUGUCUGAGGCCUAAUUAUUUUUUUAUCGAUAAUAGUGUAGCACAGCACACAAAAACUAGGGGAUUGAAAUAACGGACUAUUCGCAGAAAUAACAAAGGUAUGGUUUGAAUAAGAGCAGUUAUAGAUUCAGUGUUUCUUUGGAUGAAAUGUUGGGGAAGAUGUCAAGCUCUUUAUCUAGUAGUGGAAUCAUGUGGUAAGAACAAUAAAUUUCCAAGCAUAAUGCCACAAAGGCUAUUUAAAACCAACUGUGAACUUCAACUUCUGCUCGUCUAAGAUUCGGAAACAGUGAGAUUAAUUUGUUUUCAUUAGUCCUUUUUACAAACUGAUUUGUCCUGGCAGUACAGAGCUGAGUACUGCUGUUCAGCCAGAAGCACUAUUUUAUGGCUGUUAUAAACCCAUUGGAGAAGGCAUUUUAUUAUAAUGGCGAAGGAGACAGACCCUUAACUACAAUGCAGUGAGCAUCUCAAUGUAAUAUUUUAUUGCUAUUUGGAAGAAAAACAUCAUGAGUACUCACCAGUUUGGCAUAACCUCGGUGAUCUAAAAUGAGGUUUUCUGGCUUGAGGUCCCUAUAAAUGAUUCCUUUGGAAUGCAGAUAGGCAAAAGCUUCUACCACACAUGCAGUAUAAAAUCUGGUUGUAGAAUCUUCAAAUGAACCUCUGCAACCAGGGAUACAGGGUGUGGGAAGUGAGAGGAGAAAGACUGAGAGAUCAACAGUGCUUUACAUUUAUGCUGCACAUGAACCUAUUUGUAUUUAAAACGUUUCAUAUACAUUGUUUCUGUAACAAACACAUCUGUGGGGUUUUUUAAAUCUCCAUGUUGCAGAUAAUGAAAUACAGUAGCAACUUACCUUAAGGCCACUUGCCAGCAUCGGCCCCUUCAGGAGGAAGGGCAGGAUAUAAAUUGACAUCAUCUCAUGACAAAGGUUAAAAUUGAACUUAGGGCGCCCUGGUUCAUAGCUCAAUGUCUUAGCUAUUACACAACACCAGCUCCAGUGUACGAAUAAGCAGAGAGGCAAAACAUACCAUUUUAAGGACUCUCUCCUCUGAUAUAAACUUAAACCAGUCAACUUAGCUCAUCUCCUGAUGCCCAGUGCUAUAUCCCCCUACCAUCUGACAUACAGUGAGACAGGGCUCUCCUAGUGCUACUGAUAUAGGUGCUGCAGGUGCUGGAGGGUUUGGAUGUGAAAAGGAGCAAAGAGGCAUCCAUUUCCUUCUAUACCUGCUAGUUGAGCAGGUAAUGGGUACUGGGGCCUCUUGGGGAUUUUGAGGAUGAAUCUGACCCUGUUAAUGGUCCUCGUUAUGACACAGUGGAUGCUGCAGUAUAAUCUGACUAGUAAUUGGGUUCAGAAUAAGCCUAGAUAUCUCCCAGUUUUGUUUGGAUGGAGGAGGGGGAAAUUGCUGAGCUUGGUUGCUGAGCUUGAUUACAAGUCAUACUAGAGAAGGCUUCACCAAUCGCUAAUCUCUCACAAACCACCCUAAACACUCAUAAGCCACUUCCUUAGAAACCUAAAUCCUAGGUGACAAAUCCUAGGUGAUCCUAAAUCCUAGGUGAUCCUUCCCUUACCCUGUAGGGAAGGAUCAAAAUAGCAGGGACUGGCCAGUUAGAACCACAGAGCAUGUCUGAUCUGGGAUGCAAAGAACCUAGAAGCUCCAUCGUUAUGAAGGUAGGCAUCAGAUUAGUUUUGGUCUGCACUAUAAGAAAGGUUUGCUUUUGCAUGGCUGAAAAGUGACUUGUGUACUGUAACUACAUACAGGGUUUUAAGUGUGGAGUAAUUGCUUUGAUCUCCACUGGCAGCAGUAAACCUUACAAACCGAGAAAGCAUUGUUCAACCAUUUUUAGCAUGUAAUGCAUAUAAAAACAACCUAAAGGACUUGUGGUGUCAGGAAAGCAUAUUACUUAUAUUUAAUGACUUGACUGCAGCAGCCCCACUGGCUGCCAGAAAAACACUACUGUGAAACAGCUGUAAGGUUAUCAUGGAAUCAUAUUUCUUUGCUUGUUUGCUUAGUUGUUGAAGGCUUAUGAUUUUUUAAAAGCCACAAAUAUCUUCCUCACAUACUGCACUAAAAAUAAAAAUAAAAGUAUUCCAGUGGGAACAAAGAAAGGUAUCGAUACCACAAUAUUCUCACGAGCAUACCGCAAGGUCGAAAAUAAUUGGUAUAUAUUACAGUCAGCUGUCAAACAUUGUAUUUCAGGAACUGGAAAUAUUAGAUCUUAAAUUCUUUAAUAAUACUCCAAACUGUUUAUUAGCAAGCUGUUUGCAGUAUACCCCCCACCCCUGUUAAUAGAAAAAAAGUCUGCAGGUACAAACUUGUUUUCAACAACUAUUCUACUCUUACAUUCCCCACAAAUACUUUAAAGAGAGCACUUUAAACCCUGGGCUGAAGCUUAGAAAGUGUUUCAAAAAUCCAAUCAUUUACGAGCCAUUUAAAUAUUGUACCAAGCAUUUCCUCCCUAAUAUAAAUUCAGCUUCUACCUUGAAUUUCAAUGUAAGCUGAGUUUCAAUCAUAGGUUAAAAUUUCUAUUUCUUCCUUAUAACUGGUCAGGAAAUUACCUUUAAAUCUACUGAAACUUUUUCUAUUUCCAGAGGUGAAUGCUGUUUUGAUGCCAUAAUGUUUCAGUUACUAAGUAAUAUUAAUGGAUGGUCUGAGGAAAAGCAAAAGAUAAACGCUUUUCAAAGCUAGAUGGCAGUAUAUACCAUGACUAGCAGAGAAAAAGAAUUACAAGCAUUUCAAAGGUUUUUUUUUAAAGAAGUAAAUAAACAAACCCCAGCACCUUGCAAUUUGAAUGUGUUUGUGUGUGUGGUUUUUGGGGUUUUUUUACUAAAGGCUAGGAAUUUACUACUGAAAUUUAUUUGAAGGACAAAAGAAAAGUAACUUUUGAUAAAUAAUUAUUAUACCCUUCUUCCCUUUGUUGUGCUAUUAUGUUAAUGAAGCUGGUUACUAACUUUCUCCCUAUUAUCAGUAGUUUUUUCUCACUAAUUCUUAAUUCAGAGUGACCAUUCAGUAUGCUGGAAGAAUUUCAUUUCCUAUCCAAAGGAAUGAUGCAGUUUCCCUUACCUGUCCCUGAGAAUUGUCCAAAGCUCUCCACCUAAACAAGCUUCCAUCAACAUAUAUAAAUAUUUGCUGUCCUUGAACGUCCUGUAUAGCCUAUUCGAGAGGGAGAAGAAAACUGUAAUUUUAUGUUGUGAACUGCCCUGAGAUCUACAGGUAUUGGGGGGCGGGGGCGGUGUUAAACAAAUUUAAUUAAGAAUAAUAAUACUAAUACUAGGAUUUGAACAUUUUAAUCAAUAUAAUCUAUGUAUUAUUAUAAUCUAGGGGGCAGGAAGGAAGUACUGAUCUCCAGAGAGUUUAGGGAUGAUAUUUUUGAUACUUUGAAACUAUAAUGCUAUGCCCAUUUGCUUGGAUGUGACUCACUGAACUCAGUGGGGCUCGCUUCUAAGUCAACAUGCAUAUGAUUGCACUUAGUCAAUAGAUGCAUCCAGCAACAUUGUAUAGGGCAACCUAUACAGGCGGAGAGGCACCUGGCUGCAGAAGUUAACAUUCCAACUCAUUGAAAGUGAUGGGGACAGCAAUGGGGCUUAAAGCUUAGCAUGCUUGUCUCUCCUCCCCCCCCCCCAAUCUUAUGUUGAGUCCACUUGGAAGAAAAAUGCCUUGUAUCUUUACUAAUAAAAUGCAUAUAUAUAUUUUCCUGUAUUUUGAUCUGUUAUUUUGGAAGUUUUAUAUUGCGCUAGGUUUUACCUUCAAAUACAGACUGCACUGCAACUCUCACAUAAAUCGUACAUAAAGAUAGAAUAAAAGAUAAUUCACACACUAUGCACACAUGCAUAAACAGCUUGCUCCACCCCUUCCUCCCUCUCUUGCUAAGGUUGUCAAAACUGCCAGCGAAGAAGGGAUGGAAGGAGUGUUCCCGUCCCCUGUUUGAAUGUUCUCCCAUGCUUUUGAAGUCUCCUUGAAAGGGUUUGAGAUUGGAUUAUCAAGGUAUUGGUAUAAAUCAAAGCUGUGCAUCACAAUUCCUGCAUUGCAUUUGAUGCCUCAGGCCAUUUGAAUGUCAGCUGUAAUGUUUAGAACACAUAAGGAAUAAUCUAUGUUUAAUCAAACACUGCAAGUGGGGUUGAAAAGCACCUUCCAUCUGCACACAUAGGAACACACCCUUAUGGUAGGUCAGAUCCUUCAAGCUCAGUAUCGCCAACACUGCCUGGCAUCAGCUCUGCAGGAUUUCAGACAGGUCUCUCUAAGCCCUACUUGGAGACAAUGGGGUGGGGCCUUCUGCAUGCAAAACAAAUGCUCUAACGCUGAGAUACAACCUUCAACCAGUAAGGAUUUAUCAAGGGAAACCACAAUAGUACCUCACAAUAAAAUCUGAGUGAGCCCCUUGCAUGAUCUGCUUCUCUGAGCGGAUGUGCUCCUGCUGUCUUGUGUCCACUAUGUGGCGUUUCUUUAGUAUCUUCAUUGCAAACGUUUUUGAUUCAUCGCUUUUCAACUGGACCUUAAGGGGGGGGGGUGAGAAAAUGGCAGAUUGGAAUCAGGGCACACAAUGACUUCUCAAGUAGCUAAAAUGCUGAACUUUGAACUACAAGUGAAGAUAAAAGUUAAUACCGUUGAUAUAUUUUAAUAUCUGGACCCUAUAAAGUUUGUAAAAGUGCAAACACAAAAUAGGUGGCCACAUAUUUACACACACACACACACACACACACACACACACAGAAUAGUUGGUCUCAAACUGUUGGAAGGACUUGCAAACUUCCCUUUCCAGCAUGCUCACCAACUCUGCAUCCUUUCUCCUCGCAUCAUGUAUUCUUCAGUUACAGAGCCUUAUGCAAUGAACCACAUGCUAGCAUUGAUUUCAAUUCAGAAAUUCAUCAGUUCCAACAAAACAGAUGAGCUUCUCUGAUAUAUGUGCACUUCAAACUGAUAUUAAAAACAUGUUUACC